rnacentral:rRNA from 1 species
CAACCCUUAUCCUUAGUUGCCAGCACGUAAUGGUGGGAACUCUAGGGAGACUGCCGGUGAUAAACCGGAGGAAGGUGGGGACGACGUCAAGUCAUCAUGGCCCUUGCGGGAUGGGCUACACACGUGCUACAAUGGCAAAUGCAAAGGGUUGCUAACCUGCGAGGGUAUGCGAAUCUCAUAAAGUUUGUCGUAGUACGGAUCGGAGUAUGCAACUCGACUCCGUGAAGUUGGAAUCGCUAGUAAUCGUGGAUCAGAAUGCCACGGUGAAUACGUUCCCGGGCCUUGUACACACCGCCCGUCACACCAUGGGAGUGGGCUGCACCAGAAGUCAUUAGCUUAACCUUCGGGAUGGCGAUGACCACGGUGUGGUUCAUGACUGGGGUGAA